UACAGAGGGGGCAAGCGUUGUUCGGAAUUACUGGGCGUAAAGGGCGCGUAGGCGGCCUUCUAAGUCGAACGUGAAAUCCCCGGGCUCAACCCGGGAACUGCGUCUGAUACUGGAUGGCUUGAAUCCGGGAGAGGGAUGCAGAAUUCCAGGUGUAGCGGUGAAAUGCGUAGAUAUCUGGAGGAAUACCGGUGGCGAGGGCGGCAUCCUGGACCGGCAUUGACGCUGAGGAGCGAAAGCUAGGGGAGCAAACGGG
rnacentral:rRNA from 1 species